GCCAAUUUAAUAUAUUUUCCACACAAUUUAGGCUACCAGAAUACAUAGAGAUGCAUGGAAAUUGAGGGGGGGCCUUAUUAUAUAAUUUACCCACAUAUUUAAGGGUGUGCAAUUUGCUGAAUAUUGGCAGCUUCCUUUGGGGCCGAAGACAGGGAAAUUGAGGGCAGCAAAUAUUAUAAUUUUCAUAGAUUUCCUGUUGCUGAAUAUUGGAGAUUGGCGGCUGUUGUAGGGUAGAAAAGAAGAGAAAUUGGACUCCUUUUUGGAGUCAAACAUUCCGGCUGCCAAGACUACAUAUACACGUAAGACUGGGAAUUAAAAGGGUGGAUUACGCAGAAGUCUAGAGUUGCCGAAAAACUGAAAAAAAGAAGAAGCACACGGAGAGGAAAGAGACGGCAACACGUAGAAAAUCAGCAUAUUUACUUUUGCAAAUUAUUCACGUUCCGUCAAUUUUCAGUGAUGUCUUCCAUAAUUUCUCUUUUUCCUCCAUUAACAUGCGUAGUUAAAUUUAGUUUUAGGGCGAACAAUGU
rnacentral:lncRNA from 1 species